AUGCUAAAGAAUCAAAGUCCAGGUUGGUUGGUGAGCCUAGUGAUAGGAGACUGUCUAGCUUGGUUCGGAGAGCACUUGUUGGGUUUCAGAUUCGUUUUUUGCUAA
rnacentral:rRNA from 1 species